rnacentral:tmRNA from 1 species
GGGGAUGUAAUGGUUUCGACAUCCUAGUAGAAAUAUAGAUAGCAAGUAGUGGAUUCUCGUUGGCCACUUUAAAAAACGGGAUUUUAAAUAUAAACGCUAAUAACGAUGAAAAUUUAGCAAUGGCUGCUUAAUUUAGCGGUCUCAUUUUAGAUAAUUCCCCCACGAAUUUUCUAAAAUGUUUAUCUUUGUGGGAAACAAAACUACUUUUGCUUUAGAAGUAGUGGGUAAUUUUAAAGCUAUAUUAUAAUAAAACUUGUUUUUCAGUGUUAUUAUAAUGAAUUUAAAUGAAAAACUAAACUUGUAGAAGUCUGUAUGGAAAGUAGGCUGGACAGGAGUUCGACUCUCCUCAUCUCCACCA